rnacentral:rRNA from 2 species
CCAAUAGCGUAUAUUAAAGUUGUUGCAGUUAAAAAGCUCGUAGUUGAACUUCGGGGUUUACCCAUUGGUCAGGCUUAAUUGUCUGUACUGGUGAGAUGAAUCUCUACCUUCUGAGGAACUUUCAUGCCAUUUAGUUGGUGUGAUAGGAAAUCAGGACUGUUACUUUGAAAAAAUUAGAGUGUUUAAAGCAGGCUAACGUCUGAAUACAUUAGCAUGGAAUAAUGAAAUAGGACGGAUUGGUUCUAUUUCGUUGGUUUCUAGGAUCACCGUAAUGAUUAAUAGGGAUAGUUGGGGGCAUUAGUAUUCAAUUGUCAGAGGUGAAAUUCUUGGAUUUAUUGAAGACUAACUAUUGCGAAAGCAUUUGCCAAGGAUGUUUUCAUUAAUCAAGAACGAAAGUUAGGGGAUCGAAGACGAUCAGAUACCGUCGUAGUCUUAACCAUAAACUAUGCCGACUAGGGAUCGGACGAAGUUAAUUUUAUAAUGACGCGUUCGGCACCUUACG